UUUAGCCAAAGCCAUAUCACCCUGUGGCUCUUGCCUGGUUUACCACUGAAGUUAAGCAGGGUUGAGCCUGGUCAGUGCCUGGAUUGGAGACCUCCUGGAGAAAACUAAGGUUGCUGCUAGAU
rnacentral:rRNA from 1 species